rnacentral:rRNA from 1 species
GACGUAGGUGGCGAACGUUAUCCGGAAUUAUUGGGCGUAAAGGAUGCGUAGAUGGUGUAGUAAGUUAUCGGUGGUAAAUCGAGGCUCAACCUCGUGGAAGUCGGUAAUACUGCUAUGCUAGAGGAUAGGAGAGGUUAACGGAACUCCCUGUGGAGCGGUGAAAUGCGUAGAGAUCGGAAAGAACACCAACGGCGAAAGCACUCUGCUGGGCCGACACUGACACUGAGAGACGAAAGCUAGGGGGAGCGAAUGGG